rnacentral:rRNA from 1 species
UCGAGGGGCAUCGGGGCGAGGAGCAAUCCUUGCCGCCGGCGACCGGCGCAUGGGUGAGUAACGCGUAUGCGACCUGCCCGUUGCAGGGGGAUAAUCGGGAGAAAUCCCGUCUAAUACCGCGUAACGCCGCGGGGCUGCAUGGCCCUGCGGCCAAAGGAAGCGAUUCCGGCAACGGAUGGGCAUGCGUGACAUUAGCUAGUUGGCGGGGCAACGGCCCACCAAGGCGACGAUGUCUAGGGGUUCUGAGAGGAAGGUCCCCCACACUGGUACUGAGACACGGACCAGACUCCUACGGGAGGCAGCAGUGAGGAAUAUUGGUCAAUGGGCGCGAGCCUGAACCAGCCAAGUCGCGUGAGGGAUGACGGCCCUACGGGUUGUAAACCUCUUUUGUCGGGGAGCAAAUUCCGCCACGCGUGGCGGAGUCGAGAGUACCCGAAGAAAAAGCAUCGGCUAACUCCGUGCCAGCAGCCGCGGUAAUACGGAGGAUGCGAGCGUUAUCCGGAUUUAUUGGGUUUAAAGGGUGCGUAGGCGGACUGUCAAGUCAGCGGUAAAAUACGGGGGCUCAACCUCCGCCCGCCGUUGAAACUGACGGUCUUGAGUGGGCGAGAAGUAUGCGGAAUGCGUGGUGUAGCGGUGAAAUGCAUAGAUAUCACGCAGAACUCCGAUUGCGAAGGCAGCAUACCGGCGCCCAACUGACGCUGAAGCACGAAAGCGUGGGUAUCGAACAGGAUUAGAUACCCUGGUAGUCCACGCAGUAAACGAUGAAUACUAGCUGU